UGGGGGAUAUUGCACAAUGGGGGAAACCCUGAUGCAGCAACGCCGCGUGAAGGAAGAAGGUCUUCGGAUUGUAAACUUCUGUCUUUGGUGAAGAUAAUGACGGUAGCUAAAGAGGAAGCUCCGGCUAACUACGUGCCAGCAGCCGCGGUAAUACGUAGGGAGCAAGCGUUGUCCGGAUUUACUGGGUGUAAAGGGUGCGUAGGCGGUUCUGCAAGUCAGUUGUGAAAACUAUGGGCUUAACCCAUAGCCUGCAAUUGAAACUGUGGGACGUGAGUGAAGUAGAGGUAGGUGGAAUUCCCGGUGGAGCGGUGAAAUGCGUAGAGAUCGGGAGGAACACCAGUGGCGAAGGCGGCCUACUGGGCUUUAACUGACGCUGAAGCACGAAAGCAUGG
rnacentral:rRNA from 1 species